rnacentral:rRNA from 1 species
AAUGAACGCUGGCGGCGCGCCUAAUACAUGCAAGUCGCACGAGAAAGUCGAAAGAUGAGUGAAGUGGCGCACGGGUGAGUAACGCGUAAGUAAUCUGCCCUUUAGUUUGGAAUAACAUAGCGAAAGCUGUGCUAAUACUGGAUAAGCUCACGGAGGGGUGAUCUUCUGUGAGAAAAGCGUGCCUCUAUUUAUAAGCACGCGCUAGGGGAUGAGCUUGCGUAUCCAUUAGCUAGUUGGCGAGGUAAAGGCUCACCAAGGCGAUGAUGGAUAGCUGGUCUGAGAGGAUGGUCAGCCACACUGGAACUGAGACACGGUCCAGACUCCUACGGGAGGCAGCAGUAGGGAAUUUUGCGCAAUGGGGGGCAACCCUGACGCAGCGACGCCGCGUGAGCGAUGAAGGCCUUCGGGUUGUAAAGCUCUGUCAAGAGGGACGAACGGAUUCAAGUCAAACAGGCUUGGGUAGUGACGGUACCUCUGGAGGAAGCACCGGCUAACUCUGUGCCAGCCGCCGCCGUAA